rnacentral:tRNA from 1 species
GGAGAUGUAGCUCAGUUGGUAGAGAGCUUGCCUUGUAUGUAAAAGGCCCUGGGUUCAAUGUCCAGCACCACUG